UACGGGGGGGGCAAGCGUUGUUCGGAAUUACUGGGCGUAAAGGGCUCGUAGGCGGCCAACUAAGUCAGACGUGAAAUCCCUCGGCUUAACCGGGGAACGGCCUCUGAUACUGGCUGGCUGGAGUUCGGGAGAGGGAUGCGGAAUUCCAGGUGUAGCGGUGAAAUGCGUAGAUAUCUGGAGGAACACCGGUGGCGAAGGCGGCAUCCUGGACCGACACUGACGCUGAGGAGCGAAAGCAUGGGGAGCGAACGGG
rnacentral:rRNA from 1 species